GUCUUAGGCCAUACCGCCUAAAAGCCAUAGAUCUCGUUUUAUCUCGGAUGCUAAAGAGGGACUCCCCCAGUCAGUACUUGAAUGGGAGACCCCCUUGGAAUAAAGCGAGUUUGAAACC
rnacentral:rRNA from 1 species